rnacentral:rRNA from 1 species
CACCUCUAGCAUUUCCAGUAUUAGAGGCACUGCCUGCCCAGUGACAUCUGUUUAAACGGCCGCAGUAUCCUAACCGUGCAAAGGUAGCAUAAUCACUUGUUCCCUAAAUAGGGACUUGUAUGAAUGGCCACACGAGGGUUUUACUGUCUCUUACUUCCAAUCAGUGAAAUUGACCUUCCCGUGAAGAGGCGGGAAUGACUAAAUAAGACGAGAAGACCCUAUGGAGCUUUAAUUAACUGAUUCACAAAAAACAACACACAAACCUAACCUUCAGGGACAACAAAACUUUUGAUUGAAUCAGCAAUUUCGGUUGGGGUGACCUCGGAGAACAAAACAACCUCCGAGUGAUUUAAAUCCAGACUAACCAGUCAAAAUAUAUAAUCACUUAUUGAUCCAAACCAUUGAUCAACGGAACAAGUUACCCUAGGGAUAACAGCGCAAUCCUAUUCCAGAGUCCAUAUCGACAAUUAGGGUUUACGACCUCGAUGUUGGAUCAAGACAUCCUAAUGGUGCAACCGCUAUUAAGGGUUCGUUUGUUCAACGAUUAAAGUCUU